CACUCAUGUGUUUUUGGUUGUGUUGGCACACGUUUUUUCUGUUCGUUGGAUUGACAUCGUGUGUGUAUUCUUGCCACCGCCGUUUCUUUCUCUGAUCUAUAGGGCCCACUUUUUUGGGUACGGUUAAAAAAUUGGGAACCGCUCCUCUCCAUUUCUUAGUGUUUCAUUUCGUCUUCCUCCCCCUCGACGCUUUUCCCCAUGACGCGCACCCAAGGCGAUUUUGUCGGUGCGGCGACGAUUUGGUCCAGCGAACUCGCGCUCCUCGAUGCAGAGUGCUGCCGAAGAUAGUGAUGGCAGUUGGAGGGUUUAGCUCAUCAUUCCUUCCUGGAGGGUUCUAGAUUGCUCUGAAGGCAAUGGUUCCUCGGUUAGCAUUGGUGGUUUAUAUUUUUUAUGGCGGUUUCUAUUUUAUGCAACUCGAUUUUUCUUACUUGCAUAAUGCUAGGUGAAGCAUCUGUCUUUGCAUAUUGUGUGGUUUCUGUUUGGUUACUAAAUGUAGAGCAAACAAUGGUUGUUGUUGAUGCCCACUUAGUAUAAAUGAAGUGAUUAGAAACUAUGGAAUUCUAUUUUCUUGUUUGUUGAAUCGAGUUUGAUCAUGCAUUGGAUAGGAAGUGCAAGGGAUCUGAACUUGUGUGACUCUGCAUCCUUUUGUCAGAUAUGUAUGGUUGAAGUAUCAAGUUGUUUCAAGUUGAUAACCAUUUCAGUUACAUAAGCUUCAGAAUUUGCAUGUAUGGUUCAGGAGUUCAGUUUAUUAUAAAGUUGUUCUAUUUUUUUAAUAAUUUGCCUUGCUUUGAUCUGCUUCAGUUAGAGCAAUCCACUUAAUUUAAUUUUAGCAAAAGGUUGCCAGCAUUGCCAUGCUUGAGUUUUUGGUCUCUACUUGCCUUUCGCUUUUGGUCCCCCAUCCACAUUCGCUUAAUUGGUAAUCAAAAUUUAGAUCUCCAGUCUUUGCUUUAGAGUUUUUGGUCUGCAACUUGUGAUUUUUCUACUAGUUAUUUUUUAUUACGUUCAUAGCUGGUGUGAGCACAUUGUUUAGCUGACGCUCAUCAGACCUCUAGGUUCCUGGCUUGUGCCGAGAUAAAUUUGUUUGACUGUUGUUCAUCAGACAUCCAGUUUCCUAGACAGAGGAAAAAUUUGUUUUGCUGGUGUUCUAUGAGACCUCCAGAUUCUAGACUAUCUACAAUUUUUUCUGUGAAGCCAACACAAGUUGCUUAGGACUCAAUGAAUCUCAGUAUCUGGAGAAUGUAUAUGUCGAUCUCCACAUCAAAGGAAGUGAAAGAUUCAAUUGCUCACUUGGGCUAUAUGUGGAUUUGUAGACCAACCCACCUGCAUAGAUGAGUCUUCUCUGUAGUAGUACAGGGGAUUGGUUUAUAUGUAACUAAUCUAUUGAAGUGAACUAAGUGUUCAGGAAUAUAUAUUACCUUGGAAUUGAUACACUACUAGCAAAAUCAGACGUCUUAGAUGACUUGGCCACUUUCGCCCAAACUGUAAAACUGAAUUUGCAAACCCCAUUUUUUCCUGGCAAUCUUCCUGAGCAUUAAUUUGUUCUUAGAAAAACUAUUCAAUUCCAUUUAAAUUUUUGAUGGCAUGUGUUCAUCGUACUAUGCUAUAAUGUUCCCUGCUGCUUGCUCUAUUGCAUUGCUCUCUGAACAAAUUACAUAUACAGGAACUUGUGUUAAUACUAUGAACAAGAGCCAUUCAGUUCUGUCAGUAACAGAAAGUUAAAACAACAAGUCGACGUCUUCUCUACCAGUUCGCUCAGUUCCACGAGAAGCAUCAAUUCGUCAUCUUAGGGAUGAAUUUGGAUGAAGUUUCUUAUUUACCACUCGGUUUAACAUGUCUGUGUGGUAUGUAAUAUGUAGUAAUGUACAUUGGAUUUUUGGAGGGGGUCUGGGAACAUAGGCUUCUAAAGUGUCAUUUCUUUUGUCAGAGAUGCUCAGUGUGUGUUACUCUGUCCAAAAAGUAUUUGCUUCAAUUGUGUUUCUUAGUUAAUUUUGGUCCCCUGUUUUAGAUUUCGAUCUGCUGUGUUGGCUUCUAUUCCCAUCAGUUUAUUUGAUCUGUUAGGACGUACAAUACGAUAGACUCUUAGAAGAUAGGGAAUUAGUGCUGAGUUUAACCUACAAUGCAAACUCUUGUUUCAUAACCUCGUGUUGGGAAUUAGCAUUGAGUUUAUUUGAUCUGUGAACCUCGUGGUGUUUAUUUGGGUGCUAGUUUUUCAAUUGUCAUACUGCAAAUGAAUGGAAAGCUAUAAAUCACUAUAGAAGGGGGGUGUUUAUCCUAUUUGUCAUGGAGUUUUAAACAUGUGGAAGGCAGGGUGGGUUAUUGGUUUAGUUUGCUCAUGCUUCACUAUAAGAAAUCCUCCAUAGGUAAAGUUGAGGAGUCAUCUUACUGAUCCAACAUUUUUGAAUCAUGAGCAGGCCUAUCAUCCAGUAUUUAUAUGUUUUCAUGUCUUUUUGAAGCGCCUAUUGCACCUAUAUAAAUUUUCUACUGUAAUUUAACUAGAAUUCUCUAUGGUGUUGUAUCUGUUUUAUUAACUAAAUACAGAGCAAAUAAUGCUUGUCGUUUAUGCCACCUUAGUAUAAAUCAAGUGCUAGUGUUCUGUUCUUCGUAUAUGUUUGCUAGAUUUUUUAUGGGCAGCUUUAUUCAUUCAAGAGGAAACAAAAAAUUCUAGAAAAUAGACAAGUGUCAGGCACCUAAAAGGUCUUGAGAUAUUGUGUAUUUGUGCUGACAGUCACACUGAAUUUUGUUACUUUGUAUAUGUCUGCAACCUAAAACCUAUCAUUCAUUUUAUUGCUUUAGUUAAUUGGCUGAAUCUCUAUUUUAUGACUGAAACUCUGUUUCUAACUGAAAUCAUGUGUUUUUAAUUGAAAAUUAUAUGCUAACUAGUGUUUUUCUAUGUAACCAUGAAGGAUAAAGACUUCUGUUCUCAUGAUAAAUCUAUCGAUGGGGAGAAUGAUGAUGAUUUUGAUAUGAACUCUAAAGAAAACAUAGCUUCUUUGGAUCCACAUUUGUCAGAGGAUGAGGUUGAUGAAGCUGAACUAGUGAAGACUUGCAAGCAUUUUCAUAUAGGUGCCAGCUACUAUAAGGUUUGCAUUAGACAGAGAAAUGACACCCUAUUUACUUGUGAAGGAUCUGAUUAUGCAAGUAAGCUUACACGUGUGUUUGGCACCAUGAAUUGUAGUGGUUGUCCUGCUCUCCACCAUUGCAGUAGGGGAAGAAGCAUGGAAGGAAAUAUAAAGUAAAUGGUGAUCUAGCAGCAUGUUGGGGCCAUUUGGAGGUCUGCAAGUACUAGGUUGAGGAACUAGGGUGUGAUCCAAAUAUGGCUGCAAGUGGAGGCUCAUGUGAAGGUUCUUUUUAGUUCCUUUAUGCUUCUGAAAAUUGUAUGCUUCCAUAUGUGUAAAUUGUCCUUCCUUAUAAAAAUUGUUCCUUGUCUUUUUGUUAUUGUGCUGGUCCUCCCCCCUCUCUGUGAUUGUGUUAGGAUGAAGAUUUUUUUUUAAAUUGUCCUUCCUUAGAAAAAAAAUUGUCCCUUGUCAUUUGUGAUUGUGCUGAUCCUCCCCCCUCUUUUUAUGAUUGUGUUAGGAUGAACAAACAAAAUUUGUAAAUUAUCCUUCCUUAGAAAACAUAUUGUCCCUUGUAUUUUGUGUUUGUGCUGGUCCUUCCCCCUCUCUUUGUGAUUAUUUUAGGAUGAAGAAAAAAAUAUAAUUUUUCCUUCCUUAGUAAAAAAUUGUCCCUUGUCUUUUGUGAUUUUGUUGGUCCUCCUAAUUGUGCUAGUAUGAAUAAAUUGUUUUUGUAAAUUGUUCUUCCAUAGAAAAAAUUGUCUCUUGUAAUCUUGUUUUUGUGCUUGUGUUGUGUUAAGACAUAUCCUUAAAUUUGUUAACUAUGAUUUGUAUCAAGAAUAUAAUGCUAGUUAUAUUAUACCAGUGAGCAAUCAAAAACUGAAUUGUGUUCCAGUUUUUAUUGUCAGACUGACCCUCGACAUUGGUAUGGUCUAACCUGCACUUCUACUAGAUGCACUGCCAGUGUUGGAUAUGGGAGAAGGGAAGGAUGUCAAUUUCGAUGAGCAUUGUUGUAGAUCGAAGUUGCACAAGUAAUGUUUCAAGUUCCUUGGCCCUCUAAGUUCCACUGUCUGUUGCACAAGUAAUGUUUCAAGUUCCUUGGCCCUAUAAGUUCCACUGUCUGUUCCUCCUCAGAUUCAAAGUUUACAAACAUUCAAUCAAUUGGCAUCUUUUUGUGAUUUGUGCUAGCACACAACAACCUACACAUUUAUUAUCUAUUUCUAGAUUGACUGAAACUUUGAAUCAUACUAGUUAGUAUCUAUUUC